rnacentral:rRNA from 1 species
GAUGAACGCUGGCGGCGUGCCUAAUACAUGCAAGUCGAGCGAACAGACGAGGAGCUUGCUCCUCUGACGUUAGCGGCGGACGGGUGAGUAACACGUGGAUAACCUACCUAUAAGACUGGGAUAACUUCGGGAAACCGGAGCUAAUACCGGAUAAUAUAUUGAACCGCAUGGUUCAAUAGUGAAAGACGGUUUUGCUGUCACUUAUAGAUGGAUCCGCGCCGCAUUAGCUAGUUGGUAAGGUAACGGCUUACCAAGGCAACGAUGCGUAGCCGACCUGAGAGGGUGAUCGGCCACACUGGAACUGAGACACGGUCCAGACUCCUACGGAAGGCAGCAGUAGGAAUCUUCCGCAAUGGGCGAAAGCCUGACGGAGCAACGCCGCGUGAGUGAUGAAGGUCUUCGGAUCGUAAAACUCUGUUAUUAGGGAAGAACAAAUGUGUAAGUAACUAUGCACGUCUUGACGGUACCUAAUCAGAAAGCCACGGCUAACUACGUG